rnacentral:rRNA from 1 species
CUACGGAGGGUGCAAGCGUUGUUCGGAAUUAUUGGGCGUAAAGAGCAUGUAGGCGGACUGUUAAGUCUGGUGUGAAAGCCCGGGGCUCAACCCCGGAAGUGCAUUGGAUACUGGCAGUCUUGAGUAUGGGAGAGGAAAGUGGAAUUCCGAGUGUAGGAGUGAAAUCCGUAGAUAUUCGGAGGAACACCAGUGGCGAAGGCGGCUUUCUGGACCAAUACUGACGCUGAGAUGCGAAAGCGUGGGGAGCGAACAGGAUUAGAAACCCCAGUAGUCC